rnacentral:lncRNA from 1 species
UCUGCAGAAAUUACCGACCUGAUGGUGAAUCAAACCCCAACCAAUGUCAGUGAUUUAGAAGGCUCAGAACUUACCAUGAAUUGUACAUUCAAGACAGUCAAUAACCACAGCACCAUGUAUGUGCGAUGGUAUAACUAUGGGACUGAGGGACUAAAGAAAGAGCUGGUGAAUGAGAGCGAAGUGAUCACAACCCUGCAUUUGGACAAUGGGUUUGCCACUCUCACUUUGAAGAAUGCGAAUUCAUCUAAUACAGGAACCUACGUGUGUGAGGUGGGGAUCACAACAAAGAACCUCUCGGGGAAUGGAACAGGAACCCAAGUGACCAUCAAAAUUCCCAAGCUGAUGGUGAAUCAGACCCCAGCCAGUAUCCAGGAGUCAGAAGGCUCAAAUCUCACCAUGGAGUGUAGAUUCACGGAAUUGAAAAACCACAGGACCUUGUAUGUGAAAUGGUAUAAACAUAAUGGAACUGGGGGAACGAAAAAGGAGCUGAUGAGCGAAAAAGGCGGGGGCUCAGCAGCCCUGGAUUUGGAGAAGGGUUUUGCUUUGUUCACUCUGAAGAACGUGAAUGUAACCGAUACAGGAACCUACAUGUGUGAGGUGGGGAGCACAGCUAGGAACUGGUCUGCGUCAGGAGCCGGAACCCAAGUGACCAUCACUCCUGUUGACCUGCUGGUGAUUCAAAGCCCUGCCUUUGUCAAGGAAGAGGAAGGGAAACCGUUGACCAUAGCAUGUAGAUUCAGGGCCCUGGAGAAACCCAGCGCCAAGUACUCUGUUAAAUGGUAUAAAAACAGGACUGAUGGACUCGAGAAGGAGCUGAAAAACAAAGCAGGCUCAGUCACAACAACUCUAGAUUUCUCAACGGGCCUGGCUUCUCUGAACUUGACUAAAGCCAGCAUGAAUGAUUCUGGGUUCUACAGAUGUGACUUCGGUAAAAAUGGC